rnacentral:rRNA from 1 species
AUUGAAGCUUGCUUCAAUUGCCGGCGACCGGCGCACGGGUGAGUAACGCGUAUGCAACUUGCCUAUCAGAGGGGGAUAACCCGGCGAAAGUCGGACUAAUACCGCAUGAAGCAGGGAUCCCGCAUGGGAAUAUUUGCUAAAGAUUCAUCGCUGAUAGAUAGGCAUGCGUUCCAUUAGGCAGUUGGCGGGGUAACGGCCCACCAAACCGACGAUGGAUAGGGGUUCUGAGAGGGUGAACGGCCACAUUGGGACUGAGACACGGCCCAAACUCC